AUGAGGACCCAAAUCGCAAGAUAACUGCAGAUUUUCAAAUUUGAUUUGGGGCUUAGGGUUCGGACGAAAUCGAUUUGGGGUUUAGGGUUCGGAUGACAUCGAUUUGGGGCUUAAGGUUCGAACGAAUUCGAUUUGGGGUUUAGGGUUCGGACGAGAUCGAUUUGGGGCUUAGGGUUCGGACGAAUUCGAUUUGGGGUUUAGGGUUCG
rnacentral:lncRNA from 1 species